ACUUUGGGUCAGGAUCCUGUAAGGAGUGGUGCUCUGUGGUCUCUGUAAGAUCACCCCUGCUUUAGCCUGCUUCUUUCUUACCUUCUGCAUUGAGUGAUGGCUUUCCAUAGCAAACUCCAAGUGAAGGAACGCCAUCCUUCUCUAUUAGCCAGAUGUGAUAUGGAGAUACCGGUGACGUGGAGAAGUCGUGCUGUUGGCAGCGUGAGAUGGCAGGAGGAGAACUGUGGGCUAGGACAAGGAACGGAGUUGGAGCACUCAGUCCUGCAUCUCCUGUAUCCACCCACACUCUCAGGCAGAAGGCACAAAGAGGAGCUGUUCAGAAGAAGAACAAAACAAAGCCAACCGAGGAAAAUCCUAGGAUUUAACAAAGAAAGGGGAGAAGGAAGUGCUUUGAUUUUGAAGAGGACAAGAGGGAAAUGCAAAUUGGAGACAUCUUUCAGAAGUGCACUGGAUACAUGAUGGUGCUCUUCAAGCUGUGUCUUGCAUCUUAAACAGAGCUUGCAAGGUUAACAAAACCCACAGACAGCCACACUGGGAGUGCUGAUUCAGAACAUUUUACACAGUCCUUCGCACUAGGAAGCCUGGAUGGUUCCCAAGAGCGAGCAAUCUGGAAAUAAAAAUGUGUCUGAUCAAUAAAACGAAACGACU
rnacentral:lncRNA from 7 species